UACAGAGGUCCCAAGCGUUGUUCGGAUUUACUGGGCGUAAAGGGCGCGUAGGCGGUCGUGACAAGUCACUUGUGAAAUCUCCGGGCUUAACUCGGAACGGUCAAGUGAUACUGUCGGACUAGAGUACAGAAGGGGCAACUGGAAUUCUCGGUGUAGCGGUGAAAUGCGUAGAUAUCGAGAGGAACACCUGCGGCGAAGGCGGGUUGCUGGGCUGAUACUGACGCCGAGGCGCGAAAGCCAGGGGAGCGAACGGG
rnacentral:rRNA from 1 species